rnacentral:misc_RNA from 1 species
CCGUCCGCCGAGGAGACGCCAGUCUGUGUACGCCCGUCGCUGAUAACGCCGGCGCUCGGAUUUUCUAAAAAACGUUCGAAGUUUUACUGGAGAGACCGCCGACGAGCUGGCGGCCGGCCGCCCCUUUUUUCCUAGAGGAGACGACGGCAGGGAGCAACACCGGGCAAGUGACAGAUGUCGAUCGAUGAGACGAGUCGGAACGGCGGCGGAAGCACGGCGAAACGCCGCGGACCCCUCCGCAGAUUUCUCUCACUGGGGACGAAACGAGAAACGGCUUUCCUACCGUCGCCUUCUCAUACCAAGGCUUCGAUCCCCGACACGUCUCUCGUCCUGGAGGAACGCCGCGAGCAGAUGAAGGACCCGGACUGGAAGAGGUCCGCAAGGUUUCGCUUCCCGCCGCUCAGCCCGAAACGUGUCUCUUUCCUUCCGAGCCCGUCCGAUACAGACAGCGAGUACGAGGUCAUCGGCCGGUUCAGAAAGGAGGAAUGGAGUGGAGAUGGGAAAGGAGGAAGGUCUACCUCGUCCGCUGACACAAGUGGCCGGCUGGAGGAGGAAGGAGGCGGCGGAGGCGGAGGCGGAGGUGGUGGACGGACGAGAGCCGGGCGUACCAGGGACAUGGAGAUGAGGCGGCACACCCUGUCCGCCCCCGACCACAGGUACACGGUACGUGCCAUGGACCUCGAGAUGGGGAGCAAAGCCAACAGGCGGAAGUCGCCCCAGCCUAGGGGCUACCCUCCCCCGCCGAAUAUGCUUCUCGAUGACGAUCCCGGGAUAAUGUCCGAAGUGGAGACGUCUUCGACCGGCUUCAGACGUGGGAACAAGCAACGGAGCUCGCUGCCUGUCGUGAGGACGCCGAGCAAGACCCUGGAACGGCCUCUAGGCUUGGUGUUUCUCCAGUACAGAAGCGAGACGAAACGGGCCCUCCUGCCCAACGAGAUCACCUCGAUAGACACGGUGAAAGCGCUGUUCGUUCGAUCUUUCCCAAAGCAGCUGACGAUGGAAUACAUGGAAUCGCCUCACGUCAAGAUUUACAUACACGACUCGUCGAAGGACAUGUUCUACGAGUUGGAAGACCUCAGGUCUCACCUGAGAGAUAUAAGGGACAGGUCGGUCUUGAGACUGUUCGAGUCGGACGACGUCGUCGGGACCGGUGGAGGCCUUGGUCUCGGCAUCAUGGGUUCAGGGCCGAUCCCAACCUGGGACCAAGACCAGUCGUACUUCUCGGAGCCGGAGUUUGACUCGGAAUACCAUCACCAGCACAUACACAAAACGAAGGGUAGUAAAAGCAGCGUUGGAGGGCAUUCGGGUCCGCCUUAUUACAUGACGCACAGCUUCCCGCCCGGGGGUAGCGGAGGCGGCACUCUUCCCAGGGGCGGUUCUUCAGGCGGAGGCGGAUCGUCUCUUCUCAGGCCGUACGCCUCCUCAGCGAAGCAGACAUCCUCAGUUGAUGGUUACAUGUCUUCCCCAGAGAGGAGUUCGGUGACGCCUCGCGGGUACACGGGACAGGGGUUCACACCUGGGUCCGGGUACGAAGAGCCGUACUACGCCGGGUACACGCCGAGGACGGGAGCGAUUACGCCGGUGAUCGACGAGGAAGCCAGCGACACGGAGGGAAUGGAAGACGCAUACGUCAGCGCGACCGGGGUCCCUGGGUACAAGGUAAGGGGCGGGGCUGGUACCAGCUUUCCGCCACCGGUAGUGCCCCAAGCUCUGGACCAGACUAGACUGAGAGUGGAACACAUGGAGAGACAGCUGGCCUCGCUAACAGGCCUGGUGCAGAAGGCCUUGAACCAACAGCAACCCUCCGGUUGUUCCACGCCACAACCCCAGGUCCAGCCCCAGACCCACAUAUACCACAGAUCGUCAUCAGUUACGGAUGAAUAUGACAAACAAUCUAGCUCAAGUUCAGCAUCGUUACCAGAUGAUACGUAUCUAAGGAGUGACACGAAGCCUCCGAAAUUGGGAAGAGACAAAUCGGUCUCGUUCGAAAAAUCCGUCUCCUUCUCAGACGAACCACCCGACAUGAAUUCACCAAAACAGCACUCACCUCAGCAUUCAGCCGAUACAAAGCCGACAAAGCCCGCGAUUAAGUCAUCAACGUUGCCAAGGAUGUCGUCGCAAGACCGAGACCGGCACAAACCCACGCCACCACCAAAGCCUGUUUCCCUCUCGCCCGGCCAGUAUGAGAGUCGGAAUGUUUACAGAGACCUACAGCUGACAGCAGAAAUGUACAACCAUCUUCGUGGACUGCAGCGUAAGGCGAAGGAUCUGCGCCAAGAGGUGCGCAAUCUACGUCGUAUGUCGCAAACCCAGGCCCACACAGUCCGUGAGACGAUCCGUGACGCUUUCCUCAAGAUCCGCUCUGUCCUGGUGUCUGCAGGCGGUGAAGGACUAUGGUCUCCAGCUGGUGAUGAGACCCGCCUCAGGGUCAACAGGGAAGGAGACCUCUACAGGCAGCAGAUGAUCAGGCUCGAAUCGGAUUUGACUGAGCUUGAAGGCACCGUCGAAGAGCUGCGCGGCAAUGUCAUAAACAGGAAGACAAGGGUCAACAUGUCAGAUGUCGAAGCUAUGGCAUUGGUACUUAGUAAAUCAAGCAAAACUGUUGCUGAACUGAAGCUGAGAUUCCCAAGCUUGCAAGACGCCAUUAAGAGCUUGAUAUCCCAAGAGAUGGAGAAGGUCGUCUCUGAGGAGAAGUUCUUGAAGGAGGAACCUGAAAGGCUGGAGAGUGCUCUGAGGCGUUGCAAGAAACUGACAGGAACUCUUGUCACACUCAAAAGGCUGGCAUCAGUACAAGAACAGCGCCUGCCGGACACCCGCCUGUCACCGCCCCCGGAUGAAAUGCCCCCUGUGACACCUACCUCCGGCAAGUUCGUCCAAGUCGGCGCCAGCACUGAGGACUAAAAAAAUUAAUUAAAAAACCGUAAUAUAGCACUAGAAAAACACAAAUUGCAAAAAAAACCUCUUGCAACUGCACCCCAAAAAAACAAACAAAAAAAAUCAUAAAAUACUUGCAUCCCGACCUGCAUUUUAUUAACCUGCGGAGGAGAGGAGGAGGAGCAGUUCUGCGGAGAGAGCAGCGGAGGGCCAGCAUCUCGUCCGGAGAACCCACUCGACGCUCUGCUAG